GACGAACGCUGGCGGCGUGCUUAACACAUGCAAGUCGAACGGAAAGGCCCCUUUGGGGGUACUCGAGUGGCGCACGGGUGCGUAACACGUGAGUAACCUUCCCUUGACUUCGGGAUAACUUCAGGAAACUGGGGCUAAUACCGGUUAGGAAUCCUUGCUGCAUGGUGGGGGUUGGAAAGCUUCGGCUGUUUUGGAUGGACUCGCGGCUUAUCAGCUUGUUGGUGGGGUAGUGGCUUACCCAGGCUUUGACGGGUAGCCGGCCUGAGAGGGCGACCGGCCACAUUGGGACUGAGAUACGGCCCAGACGCCUACGGGAGGCAGCAGUGGGGAACAUUGCACAAUGGGCGGGAGCCUGAUGCAGCAACGCCGCGUGCGGGAGGACGGCCUUCGGGUUGAAAACCGCUUUCAGCAGGGGCGAAGCUUGUGGUGACGGUACCUGCAGAAGAAGCACCGGCUAACUACGUG
rnacentral:rRNA from 1 species